UGCAGUCGAGGGGUAUAGUAGCAAUACUAGAGACCGGCGCACGGGUGCGUAACGCGUAUGCAAUCUACCUUAUACAGAGGGAUAGCCCAGAGAAAUUUGGAUUAAUACCUCAUAGCAUAGCAACUUCGCAUGAAGUCACUAUUAAAGUUCCAACGGUAUAAGAUGAGCAUGCGUCCUAUUAGCUAGAUGGUAAGGUAACGGCUUACCAUGGCUACGAUAGGUAGGGGUCCUGAGAGGGAGAUCCCCCACACUGGUACUGAGACACGGACCAGACUCCUACGGGAGGCAGCAGUGAGGAAUAUUGGACAAUGGGCGCAAGCCUGAUCCAGCCAUGCCGCGUGCAGGAAGACGCAUCUAUGGUGUGUAAACUGCUUUUGUACGGGAAGAAACACUCCCUCGUGAGGGAGCUUGACGGUACCGUAAGAAUAAGGAUCGGCUAACUCCGUGCCAGCAGCCGCGGUAAUACGGAGGAUCCAAGCGUUAUCCGGAAUCAUUGGGUUUAAAGGGUCCGUAGGCGGUUUGGUAAGUCAGUGGUGAAAGCCCAUCGCUUAACGAUGGAACGGCCAUUGAUACUGCCAGACUUGAAUUACUGGGAAGUAACUAGAAUAUGUAGUGUAGCGGUGAAAUGCUU
rnacentral:rRNA from 1 species